CCGGCGACGGCGGGGGCCGGCAGCCGGAGCGCGAGCAGGAGGAGGAGGGGGAGGGCGGCGGCGAGGCCGAGGCGGAGGCAGGCAGGGGAACGCAUGAUUCUCUCCUUUGGCUCCUUGCUUCUCCGGUUGUCCUGUUGUGCGGGAGUGGGACUCGCUGCCCUGCCCGACGGCGACGUUUUGUAGGCCUUUUCCCGUUGCAGAUAGGAAGAACGAACGGAAUAGACGAUGGGGAUGGAUGGGC
rnacentral:rRNA from 1 species